rnacentral:rRNA from 1 species
UACAGAGGGGGCAAGCGUUGUUCGGAAUUACUGGGCGUAAAGGGCGCGUAGGCGGCCUGCUAAGUCGAACGUGAAAUCCCUCAGCUUAACUGGGGAACUGCGUCUGAUACUGGAUGGCUUGAGUUUGGGAGAGGGAUGCGGAAUUCCAGGUGUAGCGGUGAAAUGCGUAGAUAUCUGGAGGAACACCGGUGGCGAAGGCGGCAUCCUGGACCAACACUGACACUGAUGAGCGAAAGCCAGGGGAGCAAACGGG